UGUGGCCAAGCUACUAAGAGCGUAUGGGGGAUGUCUUGGCGUCAGGAGCCGAUGAAGGGCGUGGAAGUCUGCGAUAAGCCCGGGGAAGUUGACAAACGAGCGUUGAUCCCGGGAUUCCCGAAUUGUCGUACGCUGAAUCCAUAGGCGUACGUCGGCAACGCAGUGAACUGAAACAUCUCAGUAACUGCUGGAAAAGAAAGAAAACUCGAUUUCCGUAGUAGCGGCGAGCGAACUGGAAAUAGCCCAAACCGCGGGGAUUUUCUCCGCGGGGUUGUAGGGCCUUCCACAUGGGAGUUACAAAGCAACCCGGUAGCCGAACUGCACUGGAAAGGCAGGCCAUAGAGGGUGACAGCCCUGUAGGCGAAAUCGGCGUUGCCUCCCGGAGGGUACCUGAGUAGGUCGGGUCACGUGGAACCCCGACUGAAUCUACGGGGACCAUCCCGUAAGGCUAAAUACUCCCUGACGACCGAUAGUGAACCAAGUAGGGCGACUGAAAGGUGAAAAGAACCCCUGUUAGGGGAGGGAUAAGAACCUGAAACCAUACGCUUACAAGCGGUCGGAGCACUAUGAUCUUGCACUUCGGUGCAUCCAAGUGUGACGGCGUGCCUUUUGCAUAAUGAUCCGGCGAGUUACCGUUUGCGGCUUGGUUAAAGCCUUCCGGGCUGGAGCCAUAGGGAAACCGAGUCUGAAUAGGGCGAAAUUGUCGCAAGUGGUAGACGCGAAACUGCGUGAACUACCCAUGAGCAGGUUGAAGCGUGAGUUAUAUCACGUGGAGGACCGAACCCACUUGGGUUGAAAACCGAGGGGAUGACUUGUGGGGAGGAGUGAAAGUCUAAUCAAACGCAGAGAUAGCUCGUUCUCUCCGAAAUAGCUUUUGGGCUAGCCUCGAGCCACUACGCACUGGGGGUAGAGAUACUGAAUCGGUUUGGGGCCCUUUCCGGGGUACCCUGCUGAACCAAACUCCGAAUACCAGUGCGACUAUCUCGGGAGUCAGUCCGCGGGGGAUAAGCUCCGCGGUCAAAAGGGAAACAACCCAGAUCAUCUGCUAAGGUCCCAAAGCAGGUCUUAGUCACUAAGGAAGUUGAAUUGCGGUGACAGCCAGGAUGUUGGCUUAGAAGCAGCCAUCAUUUAAAAAGUGCGUAACAGCUUACUGGUCGAGCAAUUCAGCGCCGAUAAUGAACGGGAGUAAGUCCUGCACCGAAGCAGUGGACGGCGCGCAAGCGCCGUGGUAGGAGAGCGCUGUAGAUCAGACACGAGUCGUACCGAAAGGAGCGAUGUUGGGGUCUACAGGUGAUUAUGCCGGAAUGAGUAACGAUAAAGCAGGUGAGAAUCCUGCUCGCCGAAAGCCUAAGGUUUCCUGGGGAAGGUAAUUCCGCUCAGGGUUAGCCGGUACCUUAGUCGAGGCCGAAAGGCGUAGACGAUGGAUAGCAGGUUAAUAUUCCUGCGCCGGGGUAGUGGACCGAUGGAGGGACGGCGUCCCGAAGGUGAUCAGCCGAUUAGAAAUGGCUGUAGGGCGUUGCGAGGUGGCGGGAUAGGUAAAUCCGCCCGCGGAAUCCAAGCGACGCACUCGAGGACAUUUAUGAUUCUGAAGUCAUUGGAGGGACGUCCAAGAAAAGCUUCUAAGGGUUGAAGCUACCUCGACCGUACUAAAACUGACACAGGUAGGCGAGACGAGAAGUCUAAGGCGCUCGGGAGAACACUGGUUAAGGAACUCUGCAAAAUGACCCCGUAAGUUCGCGAUAAGGGGUGCCCCCUAGGGUUAAUGCUUCGGGGGGCCACAGUAAAUCGGCAACAGCGACUGUUUAUCAAAAACACAGGACUCUGCUAACUCGCAAGAGGAUGUAUAGAGUCUGACGCCUGCCCGGUGCCGGUAGGUUAAGGAAGAGAGUUAGCCUUCGGGUGAAGCUCGCAACCGAAGCCCCGGUAAACGGCGGCCGUAACUAUGACGGUCCUAAGGUAGCGAAGUUCCUUGUCGGGUAAGUUCCGAC
rnacentral:rRNA from 1 species